UACAGAGGGUGCAAGCGUUAAUCGGAAUUACUGGGCGUAAAGCGCGCGUAGGCGGCUGUCUAAGUCGGGUGUGAAAGCCCCGGGCUCAACCUGGGAACUGCAUUCGAUACUGGACGGCUAGAGUAUGAGAGAGGGAGGUAGAAUUCCACGUGUAGCGGUGAAAUGCGUAGAUAUGUGGAGGAAUACCGGUGGCGAAGGCGGCCUCCUGGUUCAAUACUGACGCUGAGGUGCGAAAGCGUGGGGAGCGAACAGG
rnacentral:rRNA from 1 species